rnacentral:rRNA from 1 species
AUUGAACGCUGGCGGCAGGCCUAACACAUGCAAGUCGAGCGGAUGAAGGGAGCUUGCUCCUGGAUUCAGCGGCGGACGGGUGAGUAAUGCCUAGGAAUCUGCCUGGUAGUGGGGGAUAACGUCCGGAAACGGGCGCUAAUACCGCAUACGUCCUGAGGGAGAAAGUGGGGGAUCUUCGGACCUCACGCUAUCAGAUGAGCCUAGGUCGGAUUAGCUAGUUGGUGGGGUAAAGGCCUACCAAGGCGACGAUCCGUAACUGGUCUGAGAGGAUGAUCAGUCACACUGGAACUGAGACACGGUCCAGACACCUACGGGAGGCAGCAGUGGGGAAUAUUGGACAAUGGGCGAAAGCCUGAUCCAGCCAUGCCGCGUGUGUGAAGAAGGUCUUCGGAUUGUAAAGCACUUUAAGUUGGGAGGAAGGGCAGUAAGUUAAUACCUUGCUGUUUUGGCGUUACCAACAGAAUAAGCACCGGCUAACUUCGUG